rnacentral:rRNA from 1 species
AGAGUUUGAUCAUGGCUCAGAACGAACGCUGGCGGCGUGGAUAAGACAUGCAAGUCGAACGCUGAUUACGGGGUAGCAAUAUUCCGUGGUCGGAGUGGCGCAAGGGUGCUUAACACGUGGGCAAUCUGCCGUGAAGCCUGGAAUAACUCGCUGAAAGGCGAGCUAAUGCCGGAUGUGAAAGUUGGAAGGCAUCUUCUGAUUUUCAAAGCUGGGGACCGCAAGGCCUGGCACUUCACGAUGAGCCCGCGGCCUAUCAGCUAGUUGGUGAGGUAACGGCUCACCAAGGCUUAGACGGGUAGCUGGUCUGAGAGGACGACCAGCCACACUGGAACUGAGACACGGUCCAGACACCUACGGGUGGCAGCAGUCGAGAAUUUUUCUCAAUGGGCGAAAGCCUGAAGGAGCGACGCCGCGUGGGGGAUGAAUGGCUUCGGCCCGUAAACCCCUGUCAUUCGCGAACAAGUGGUUUUACCUAACACGUAAAGCCUUGAUAGUAGCGGAAGAGGAAGGGACGGUUAACUCUGUGCCAGCAGCCGCGGUAAUAC